rnacentral:sRNA from 1 species
AUUUGUUGGACGAUUUAAGUCUCGUAAAGAACGAGAAGCUGAACUUGGAGCUAGGGCAAAAGAAUUCACCAAUGUUUACAUCAAGAAUUUUGGAGAAGACAUGGAUGAUGAGCGCCUUAAGGAUCUCUUUGGCAAGUUUGGGCCUGCCUUAAGUGUGAAAGUAAUGACUGAUGAAAGUGGAAAAUCCAAAGGAUUUGGAUUUGUAAGCUUUGAAAGGCAUGAAGAUGCACAGAAAGCUGUGGAUGAGAUGAACGGAAAGGAGCUCAAUGGAAAACAAAUUUAUGUUGGUCGAGCUCAGAAAAAGGUGGAACGGCAGACGGAACUUAAGCGCAAAUUUGAACAGAUGAAACAAGAUAGGAUCACCAGAUACCAGGGUGUUAAUCUUUAUGUGAAAAAUCUUGAUGAUGGUAUUGAUGAUGAACGUCUCCGGAAAGAGUUUUCUCCAUUUGGUACAAUCACUAGUGCAAAGGUUAUGAUGGAGGGUGGUCGCAGCAAAGGGUUUGGUUUUGUAUGUUUCUCCUCCCCAGAAGAAGCCACUAAAGCAGUUACAGAAAUGAACGGUAGAAUUGUGGCCACAAAGCCAUUGUAUGUAGCUUUAGCUCAGCGCAAAGAAGAGCGCCAGGCUCACCUCACUAACCAGUAUAUGCAGAGAAUGGCAAGUGUACGAGCUGUGCCCAACCCUGUAAUCAACCCCUACCAGCCAGCACCUCCUUCAGGUUACUUCAUGGCAGCUAUCCCACAGUAUAAAUAUGCUGCAGGAGUUCGCAAUCC